GACGAACGCUGGCGGCGUGCUUAACACAUGCAAGUCGAACGGAAAGGCCCUGCUAUUGUGGGGUGCUCGAGGGGCGAACGGGUGAGUAACACGUGAGUAACCUGCCCUUGACUUUGGGAUAACUUCAGGAAACUGGGGCUAAUACCGGAUAGGAGCUCCUGCUGCAUGGUGGGGGUUGGAAAUUUUCGGCUGUUGUGGUUGGAUUCGCGGCUUAUGAGCUUGUUGGUGGGGGAGUGGCUUACCAAGGGUUUGACGGGUAGCCGGCCCGGGAGGGUGGCCGGCGACCAUGCUCCUGCGAUACGCAGCAGUCGCCUACGGUGGACAGCGGUGGGAAAUCUUACCCAACCGGCGCGCGUCUGAUGAAGCGGCCUUCCGUGCGUAAUGACGGCCUGCUGGUUGUGAACCGCUUUCGCCUAUGACGAAGCGUUACUGACGGUACUGGAUAAAGAAGCACCGGCUAACUACGUG
rnacentral:rRNA from 1 species